rnacentral:rRNA from 1 species
UACGUAGGGGGCAAGCGUUGUCCGGAUUUAUUGGGCGUAAAGAGCGUGUAGGCGGCCAGGUAGGUCUGCUGUGAAAACUCGAGGCUUAACCUCGAGCUGUCGGCGGAAACCAUCUGGCUAGAGUCCGGAAGAGGAGAAUGGAAUUCCCGGUGUAGCGGUGAAAUGCGCAGAUAUCGGGAAGAACACCCGUGGCGAAGGCGGUUCUCUGGGACGGUAACUGGACGCUGAGACGCGAAAGCGUGGGGAGCGAACAGG